GGUUUUGGUGAUAAUUUCCCAGGUAGUCUGGUGUUAGCUGCUGGUUUUAUUCCCGCCUGAAUUUUACAAUAUAACAAUGUAAGCACAUGAGAUAUAACUACGAGACAUCUGUAAAACAGGCACAGAUUUAUGUGGGAGUCUCUUUCUUUCAAUGCCACAUGACACUGUAAAUCACACGUUUGAAGCUUCACAUCACAAUAAAUUAAACCUUUCUUACUGUUGAAGGUUAUGCGGAUUCUGGAGUCAAGCCUACGACCUGUAGGAACCUGCUGCACUGCUACAUAUUGGAUCGCACAACGAUGCACUUGACCUGCAUGCUUUUACAAGGUGCCCUGUGAGCUCUCGUCCAAGCACCGCAUUGCAGAGGUCUGCUGUGAGCAGACGUGGCAAAUUGAAGUAACAUACAGAUAGUCCAAUAAAAUACUCGUAAUUUCAGACAAAC
rnacentral:lncRNA from 1 species